rnacentral:rRNA from 1 species
UACAGAGGUCUCAAGCGUUGUUCGGAUUCAUUGGGCGUAAAGAGCGUGUAGGCGGCCCGGUAAGUCCGCUGUGAAAGUCCAGGGCUCAACCCUGGGAUGCCGGUGGAUACUGUCGGGCUCGAGUCCGGAAGAGGCGAGUGGAAUUCCUGGUGUAGCGGUGAAAUGCGCAGAUAUCAGGAGGAACACCAAUGGCGAAGGCAGCUCGCUGGGACGUGACUGACGCUGAGACGCGAAAGCGUGGGGAGCAAACAGG